CUCAUAGCGUAUAUUAAUGUUGUUGCAGUUAAAAAGCUCGUAGUUGGAUUCCUGACCUGGGGUAGCCGGUCCGCCUUGCAAAAGGUGCGCACUGAGCGGCCUCGGUCAUCCUUGAGAAGAGCGGUCCUGGCAUUCAGUUGUCGGGGUCGGGAUUCUCGACGUUUACUGUAAAAAAUCAGAGUGUUCAACGCAGGCUUACGCCUUGAAUACAUUAGCAUGGAAUAAUGAGAUAGGACCUUGGCGGUCUAUUUUGUUGGUUUGCACGCCGAGGUAAUGAUUAAAAGGGACGGUUGGGGUUCUUCGUAUUCAAUUGUCAGAGGUGAAAUUCUUGGAUUUAUGGAAGACGAACUGCUGCGAAAGCGUCGAACAAGGACGUUCUCAUUAAUCAAGAACGAAAGUUAGGGGAUCGAAGAUGAUUAGAUACCAUCGUAGUCUUAACCAUAAACUAUGCCGAUUCAGGAUUGGCGGUCGUUUGUUCUCGACUCCGUCAGCACUGUAUGAGAAAUCAAAAUCUUUGGGUUCCGGGGGGAGUAUGGUCGCAAGGCUGAAACUUAAAGAAAUUGACGGAAGGGCACCACCAGGAGUGGAGCCUGCGGCUUAAUUUGACUCAACACGGGGAAACUUAC
rnacentral:rRNA from 1 species